rnacentral:rRNA from 1 species
UGGGGAAUAUUGCGCAAUGGGGGGAACCCUGACGCAGCCAUGCCGCGUGAAUGAAGAAGGCCUUAGGGUUGUAAAGUUCUUUCGGUAUUGAGGAAGGUUGAUGUGUUAAUAGCACAUCAAAUUGACGUUAAAUACAGAAGAAGCACCGGCUAACUCCGUGCCAGCAGCCGCGGUAAUACGGAGGGUGCGAGCGUUAAUCGGAAUAACUGGGCGUAAAGGGCACGCAGGCGGUUAUUUAAGUGAGGUGUGAAAGCCCCGGGCUUAACCUGGGAAUUGCAUUUCAGACUGGGUAACUAGAGUACUUUAGGGAGGGGUAGAAUUCCACGUGUAGCGGUGAAAUGCGUAGAGAUGUGGAGGAAUACCGAAGGCGAAGGCAGCCCCUUGGGAAUGUACUGACGCUCAUGUGCGAAAGCGUGGGGAGCAAACAGGAUUAGAUACCCUGGUAGUCCACGCUGUAAACGCUGUCGAUUUGGGGGUUGGGGUUUAACUCUGGCGCCCGUAGCUAACGUGAUAAAUCAACCGCCUGGGGAGUACGGCCGCAAGGUUA